rnacentral:tRNA from 1 species
GGUUCAUUAGCAUAACGGUAGUGCAUCGACCUUCAAGAGAGUCUCCUAAAGGGGGCUCUCUUGAAGUCGAAAGUCCUAGUUCGACUCUAGGGUGAACCACCA